rnacentral:rRNA from 1 species
AACGCUAGCUACAGGCUUAACACAUGCAAGUCGAGGGGAAACGAUAGAGAAAGCUUGCUUUUUCUAGGUGUCGACCGGCGCACGGGUGAGUAACGCGUAUCCAACCUGCCCACCACUUGGGGAUAACCUUGCGAAAGUAAGACUAAUACCCAAUGACGUCCGUAGAAGACAUCUGAAAUGGAUUAAAGAUUCAUCGGUGAUGGAUGGGGAUGCGUCUGAUUAGCUUGUUGGCGGGGUAACGGCCCACCAAGGCGACGAUCAGUAGGGGUUCUGAGAGGAAGGUCCCCCACAUUGGAACUGAGACACGGUCCAAACUCCUACGGGAGGCAGCAGUGAGGAAUAUUGGUCAAUGGGCGAGAGCCUGAACCAGCCAAGUAGCGUGCAGGAUGACGGCCCUAUGGGUUGUAAACUGCUUUUAUAAGGGAAUAAAGUGGGAGUCGUGACUCUUUUUGCAUGUACCUUAUGAAUAAGGACCGGCUAAUUCCGUGCCAGCAGCCGCGGUAAUACGGAAGGUCCGGGCGUUAUCCGGAUUUAUUGGGUUUAAAGGGAGCGUAGGCCGGAGAUUAAGCGUGUUGUGAAAUGUAGAUGCUCAACAUCUGCACUGCAGCGCGAACUGGUUUCCUUGAGUACGCACAAAGUGGGCGGAAUUCGUGGUGUAGCGGUGAAAUGCUUAGAUAUCACGAAGAACUCCGAUUG